rnacentral:misc_RNA from 1 species
UGGCUCUCGCAUCGAUGAAGAACGCAGCGAAAUGCGAUAAGUAAUGUGAAUUGCAGAAUUCAGUGAAUCAUCGAAUCUUUGAACGCACCUUGCGCUCCUUGGUAUUCCUUGGAGCAUGCCUGUUUGAGUAUCAUGAAAUUCUCAAAACAAGUCUUUUGUUAAUUCAAUUGGCUUCGCUUUGGAUUUGGGGGUCUGCAGAUUCACGUCUGCUCCUCUUAAAUAUAUUAGCUGGAUCUCCAUGAACUUGGUUCCACUCAGCGUGAUAAGUAUCACUCGCUGAGGACACCCGUAAAAAGGUGGCCAGGCUCGAGGAUGAGCCGCUUCUAAUAGUCCAUUGACUUGGACAAAUUAAAUUUAUGAUCUGAUCUCAAAUCAGGUAGGACUACCCGCUGA